AGUGACCGUGACGAAGAGGAAAGGCUGAUACAGGAGUGGUUCACUCUGGUGAACAAGAAGAACGCUCUGAUACGCAGACAGGACCACCUGGAACUACUACAAGAGGAGCAGGAUCUGGAGAGGAGAUUUGAGCUUCUGACCAGAGAACUACGGGUCAUGAUGGCCAUAGAAGACUGGCAGAAGUCGUCCACUCAGCAGCAGAGGGAGCAGCUGCUCCUCCAAGAGCUGGUGUCUUUGGUCAACCAGCGGGACGAGAUCAUCCGAGACAUUGAUGCCAAAGAGAGAGGAGCACUGGAGGAGGAUGAGCGUCUGGAGCGAGGUCUAGAGAUGAGGAGAAAAAAAUACAACAAAGAGAAAUGUGUGCUCCAGUGAGGCGAGAAGAGAAGCACAGACAGCUUUUACUGCAGAGCAACUGAGGUCCCAAAAGAGUAUUUUUAAAAGUUUUUUUCAUGAGAUAAAAACAGAUCUCUCAGGACUUCAGCACUCUGUAUUUUCCUGUUUUUAAAGUGCCUUCAUUUUGCCCGAGAACUGUUCUGUGUCUGAGGCUGCAAAGUGUCUUUUUUUGUCAAAGUUUCUAUAUUUUUUUUGUCUGUCUUAAUGUAUUAGUAUUAUUUUAAUUCUUUUCACCUGUUUUUAUUUAUUUAAGUAAUAUGUCAGAUUGUUGUAUAUCUAUUGCACAUAGGGUGUGUUUGUGUGUAUAUUCUCCUGUGAGUUCCUUCAGUAUUUAAACACUGGCUUAUCCUCCUUUUUGGGGGGGAUGCUGUGUGGGGUGUUUGGGUUCCUCUUCAUCAUGACAAAAGCUUGUCAAAAAUAAGGCCAAAAUGUGCCUUGUAGCUUUAAUGGGAAAUAGUUUACAGUUGCUUAUGCACAUCAAGGAAUUUGUUCUGUUUCUGGUGAUGUUCACCUUGCAAGUAUGUUUCCACCCUGAAAAAAACAAACUGUCUGUUAACAUGUCGAACAUAAAAAUAGUGAAAUAUGUGAUAAGUCGUGAGCUGGACUCAAACCCAUGAUGUUGCUCGUGCAGUUUUCAGAUUCACAUUGCGAUAAAGCCUGAAAACAGGCUCAAGGAUGCUCAAGUAGCUUCCAGUUUAAAGCAUUAUUUUAAGUUAGACCCUUGACUCAACCACAGUCUGUGUGGAUGUGAUGGUCGUGCCUGCUUGAGUCACAGAAAUGAAAGUGUUUCCUCAUUUCUGUGCUGUUUCACGACUGUAUGCAUGCUUUUUGAAGUGUGCUGGUAAAGUGGUACUCUGCUUCAAGUUCCUACUGUGUCCUUAUUAUACACUGUGUGCCUGAUGUCGAAUUUAUAUUUAUGAUGUUGAUGAAAGAUGUUUAAAAUGAUAAAGAUUAAUAAAUAUUUUAUUGGUUGCUUA